CAAAUCCCUAAAAGCCAUCCCAGUUCGGAUCGCAGGCUGCAACCCGCCUGCGUGAAGUUGGAAUCGCUAGUAAUCGCGGAUCAGCAUGCCGCGGUGAAUACGUUCCCGGGCCUUGUACACACCGCCCGUCACACCAUGAGAGUCGGGAACACCCGAAGUCCGUAGCCUAACCGCAAGGGGGGCGCGGCCGAAGGUGGGUUCGAUAAUUGGGGUGAAGUCGUAACAAGGUACC
rnacentral:rRNA from 1 species